GUUUGAUUAAAGUGAAGUGCUGAUAUUUUAGAUAGAAGAAUAUGAGAGUUUACGUGACAUUUAGGGAUGUUAUAGUAAUUGUUUAAAAAUAAUAAUUGUAGUGAUUUUAUAAUUAUGACAGGCAGUGCCAUCGAACCAGAAAGCAUACACCAUUAUUGGAACAGUGUAGAGUCGCAUCAUCUUUUGUCGUAUGGUGGUGAAAUGAAAUGUUUGUUAAACACAACAUCAUGCUAUUUAAAGCUGCGUGAGAGAGAUUGGAUUUACAGUCAUCUGCUUAAAUGGAUGCAUUUCCACCAUUUCUACAAACUCCCAUGAAUGCAUUUUAUGGGAACAUUUCUGAUUAAUAAACAUGUCCUUUUCUUUUCUUUUUUUUUUUUUUUAAAUAUUUAAAGUUGGAUACGUAAAAUAUUUAAUUACGCCAUCAAUUAUAGCAAAAUUAACAAGUAGUGGCAGGUGUUGCCGGAAAAGCGAGCAACAAGGAGGAACGAACUGCUUCAAUCGAGGUCGCACUCUCUCUCUAGCGACACAAUGAUUGAUCGAGAAAAAGGAAAAAUGGUGCCAAAGAAGCUACAAAUGACAAGGCUAGAUAACAAUUGCCGGCUAAGGACAGACGUUGCCGGAAAAUCGAGAGGCAAAAUUGAGAUGGAGUUGUCCGAUCGUAAACGAAAUGCAUGCAGCCUUUGCUUCUCUCUCGUUUACACUACAACGCAUCGAAAUAUAGAAAGCGGUGGCCGGAGGGAUCGGUAGCGAGGUGCGGGUGGUUAAGUCGGCGGAGCUUGAGCUCCGAUGAAUAGAAACCAUAGAAGGGGAUGGGGGUAGGGGUUGUCGGCAAAGUCGGCGAGAGAAGAUAGGAAAUUGGGAUUUUUUUUCUUUUCAGGGUUUUAGUGAGUGGUUUGGUUUAAAUCGGAGUUGAUUCAGUCUAGACCCUUGUUUUGAGUGAUUUUUAAUUGAUUAUGGGUUUAAUUUAAUUUUUAAGGUUUGAUUUAGCAAUAACAAAAGUAUUUGUUAUUAAA